rnacentral:rRNA from 1 species
AGAUUGAACGCUGGCGGCAGGCCUAACACAUGCAAGUCGAGCGGUAGAGAGGUGCUUGCAUCUCUUGAGAGCGGCGGACGGGUGAGUAAUGCCUAGGAAUCUGCCUAGUGGUGGGGGAUAACGUUCGGAAACGGACGCUAAUACCGCAUACGUCCUACGGGAGAAAGCGGGGGACCUUCGGGCCUCGCGCCAUUAGAUGAGCCUAGGUCGGAUUAGCUAGUU